GACGAACGCUGGCGGCGUGCCUAAUACAUGCAAGUAGAACGCUGAAGAGAGGAGCUUACUCUUCUUGGAUGAGUUGCGAACGGGUGAGUAACGCGUAGGUAACCUGCCUUGUAGCGGGGGAUAACUAUUGGAAACGAUAGCUAAUACCGCAUAACAAUGGAUGACACAUGUCAUUUAUUUGAAAGGGGCAAUUGCUCCACUACAAGAUGGACCUGCGUUGUAUUAGCUAGUAGGUGAGGUAAUGGCUCACCUAGGCGACGAUACAUAGCCGACCUGAGAGGGGGGUCGGCCACAAUGGGAAUGGGACACGGCCCAGACUCCUACGGGAGGCAGCAGAAGGGAAUCUUCGGCAAUGGGGGCAACACUGACCGAGCAACGCCGCGUGAGUGAAGAAGGGUUUCGGAUCGUAAAGCUCUGUUGUAAGUGAAGAACGGGUGUGAGAGUGGAAAGUUCACACUGUGACGGUAGCUUACCAGAAAGGGACGGCUAACUACGUG
rnacentral:rRNA from 1 species